rnacentral:misc_RNA from 1 species
GUGAAUCAUCAAAUUUUUGAACGCAAAUUGCACUCUUUGGUAUUCCGGAGAGUAUGCCUGUUUGAGGGUCGGUUUAAAUAAAAAUCGGUGUGGUUGUUGUCUCUGGUGGUGAGGCAUUGGAGUUGGGUAGUCAUGUCUUCGGUUAAGUGACGUAAGAUUCUGCAUGAUUUUUUUCGUAGGUAUGUAAAUGAUUUUACGUACGUUUGGGAUAUUGAAUACUAGGUGUGGUAAUCUUCAUGAUUCGUGCUUAUAAUUUAUCAUCAAAAUGAGUUCAAAUCAGGUUUGAGUACACGCUGAAUUU